AUGUAUUUUACAAUCUUUAUUACAAAAAUAUUUACACAAAUCAAAGCAUUAUUGAUCCACUUUGAACACUUCUCUCUGCUUUCCAGCAAACAGCAUGACCACCAACCCAAUCAUGUAUUAUUAAGAAAUACUGCUGAAAGGUGCAUCAGUGCAACCAAAACAAACAUAUUCUACAUCGACCUGCAGUCAUUACAAUCACAAUAA
ensembl:lncRNA